rnacentral:rRNA from 1 species
UAAUACGAGGGGAGCAAGCGUUGUUCGGAAUCAUUGGGCGUAAAGGGCGCGUAGGCGGCCAGUACAAGUCUGGGGUGAAAGCCCUCGGCUCAACCGAGGAAUUGCCUUGGAAACUGUGCGGCUUGAGUAUUGGAGAGGAAGGCGGAAUUCCCAGUGUAGCGGUGAAAUGCGUAGAUAUUGGGAGGAACACCUGUGGCGAAGGCGGCUUUCUGGACAAUCACUGACGCUGAGGCGCGAAAGCCAGGGGAGCAAACG